UGCAAGUCGAGCGGACAGAAGGGAGCUUGCUCCCGGAUGUUAGCGGCGGACGGGUGAGUAACACGUGGGUAACCUGCCUGUAAGACUGGGAUAACUCCGGGAAACCGGAGCUAAUACCGGAUAGUUCCUUGAACCGCAUGGUUCAAGGAUGAAAGACGGUUUCGGCUGUCACUUGCAGAUGGACCCGCGGCGCAUUAGCUAGUUGGUGGGGUAAUGGCUCACCAAGGCGACGAUGCGUAGCCGACCUGAGAGGGUGAUCGGCCACACUGGGACUGAGACACGGCCCAGACUCCUACGGGAGGCAGCAGUAGGGAAUCUUCCGCAAUGGACGAAAGUCUGACGGAGCAACGCCGCGUGAGUGAUGAAGGUUUUCGGAUCGUAAAGCUCUGUUGUUAGGGAAGAACAAGUGCGAGAGUAACUGCUCGCACCUUGACGGUACCUAACCAGAAAGCCACGGCUAACUACGUGCCAGCAGCCGCGGUAAUACGUAGGUGGCAAGCGUUGUCCGGAAUUAUUGGGCGUAAAGGGCUCGCAGGCGGUUUCUUAAGUCUGAUGUGAAAGCCCCCGGCUCAACCGGGGAGGGUCAUUGGAAACUGGGAAACUUGAGUGCAGAAGAGGAGAGUGGAAUUCCACGUGUAGCGGUGAAAUGCGUAGAGAUGUGGAGGAACACCAGUGGCGAAGGCGACUCUCUGGUCUGUAACUGACGCUGAGGAGCGAAAGCGUGGGGAGCGAACAGGAUUAGAUACCCUGGUAGUCCACGCCGUAAACGAUGAGUGCUAAGUGUUAGGGGGUUUCCGCCCCUUAGUGCUGCAGCUAACGCAUUAAGCACUCCGCCUGGGGAGUACGGUCGCAAGACUGAAACUCAAAGGAAUUGACGGGGGCCCGCACAAGCGGUGGAGCAUGUGGUUUAAUUCGAAGCAACGCGAAGAACCUUACCAGGUCUUGACAUCCUCUGACAACCCUAGAGAUAGGGCUUUCCCUUCGGGGACAGAAUGACAGGUGGUGCAUGGUUGUCGUCACCUCCUGUCCUGAGAUGUUGGGUUAAAUCCCGCACCAGCCCAACCCUUGAUCUUAUUUGCACA
rnacentral:rRNA from 1 species